rnacentral:rRNA from 1 species
CGGGGAAUUUUGCACAAUGGGGGAAACCCUGAUGCAGCGACGCCGCGUGAUUUAGAAGGCCUUCGGGUUGUAAAAAUCUUUUCUAUGGGAAGAAAAUGACAGUACCAUAGGAAUAAGGACCGGCUAAUUACGUGCCAGCAGCCGCGGUAAUACGUAAGGUCCGAGCGUUGUCCGGAAUCAUUGGGCGUAAAGGGUACGUAGGCGGGUAAGCAAGUUAGAAGUGAAAUCCUAUAGCUCAACUAUAGUAAGCUUUUAAAACUGCUCAUCUUGAGGUAUGGAAGGGAAAGUGGAAUUCCUAGUGUAGCGGUGAAAUGCGCAGAUAUUAGGAGGAAUACCGGUGGCGAAGGCGACUUUCUGGCCAUAACCUGACGCUGAGGUACGAAAGCGUGGGUAGCAAACAGG